GAUGAACGCUGGCGGCGUGCCUAAUACAUGCAAGUCGAGCGAACAGACGAGGAGCUUGCUCCUCUGACGUUAGCGGCGGACGGGUGAGUAACACGUGGAUAACCUACCUAUAAGACUGGGAUAACUUCGGGAAACCGGAGCUAAUACCGGAUAACAUGUUGAACCGCAUGGUUUAACAGUGAAAGACGGUCUUGCUGUCACUUAUAGAUGGAUCCGCGCCGCAUUAGCUAGUUGGUAAGGUAACGGCCUACCAAGGCAACGAUGCGUAGCCGACCUGAGAGGGUGAUCGGCCACACUGGAACUGAGACACGGUCCAGACUCCUACGGGAGGCAGCAGUAGGGAAUCUUCCGCAAUGGGCGAAAGCCUGACGGAGCAACGCCGCGUGAGUGAAGAAGGUCUUCGGAUCGUAAAACUCUGUUAUUAGGGAAGAACAAAUGUGUAAGUAACUAUGCACGUCUUGACGGUACCUAAUCAGAAAGCCACGGCUAACUACGUG
rnacentral:rRNA from 1 species